UUAACAUUAACAGGAAGUGAAACCUGGAUCCUUGAAGUUAUUUUUUUAAAACUAUAAAAACUCAUUCACAAUUUAGACUACGAAGAUUAUUAGUUAAAAAAUUCCUAAAAACUACAUGAACUUGUGGACUAGUUUGACCUCUCAAGUAACAUCUAAUCAGUAUGCAUUGACCCUGACUUGUUGCAUGACUUGGGGUAGGACUGAUAACCACAUUGCAGUUGUUGCGUCUGGUGCCUGAACUCACAGUAUGAGUUGCCAAUGUGCCGGAGAAACUUGCAUAACGCCACCCCCCUUCAAAAUCCAGAACCAUCACACAAACCUCUUUGGUUUUGACUCUGCAAUCAUACAAAAUCCAGUAUAUUUAGGCUAAAAGGCAGAGUACCACACUUAUAGCAGUUUGCAUAGGUGUGGUUUUCCACCCAUACUAGAAGUAGGGUUCCCAAAUAUAGGAUGGAGAACAGCCUGCUGUAAAGAUGACUCCUAGUGUUGCGCUCUCCACCCUGUAAUUGAUGAGCCCUCAUUUGGAUCAUACAGGGACAUGUACUGUCUUGCAUGGUAAAGUUAGAAUCACAUAAAAUUCUGAUAUGCAUGUAGGCCUAAUCACACAACCUAGAGCUGUACAGAAGGCUAGGUAAGUGUUGGGAAGUCCCACAUCGACUACCUCACAUUCUUGGGAAUUGUUUAAAUACAUGUUCAACUACAUCUCUAUUAGCCAAUUAGUUUUGAGAUGAAACUUUAAAGUAAGUAUAUUGCAUGCAUGAUAUCAUUUCAAACACACCACAUCUUAUAUCUGCAGGGGUAUAAUACCUUUAAGGGAAGUGGCAAAUGUCCUGUAAUUAAAUAAAUAAAAAAUAUGAUAACAAUUGUAUGGUUGCUAUCUUUAUCAGAUUUUUUAAGUCAAGAAUCUACGACAAGCACCACAAAUCUCCUCUAUCAAAUCUAAUGAAUAUGCAAUUUUAAUUAAUCAGAGCAGUAUAAGCUAAUAUGUAUUGAGAAGUUACUGCUUUAAAUAGAGAUCAUAGUCAUACACAUAAGUUCCAAUCAUUAUAAACACUCAUCAUUCUGACGUUCUAUAAAUUUACCUGUAUCACUGUAUAUUUUUAUGGCAAAAGUGGAGAUUGCAGGAAGCAGCAAAAUUGCUGCACAGAGAUACACACUUCUGUCUACACACCAUCAC
rnacentral:lncRNA from 1 species